GACGAACGCUGGCGGCGUGCCUAAUACAUGCAAGUAGAACGCUGAAGAGAGGAGCUUGCUCUUCUUGGAUGAGUUGCGAACGGGUGAGUAACGCGUAGGUAACCUGCCUUGUAGCGGGGGAUAACUAUUGGAAACGAUAGCUAAUACCGCAUAACAAUGGAUGACACAUGUCAUUUAUUUGAAAGGGGCAAUUGCUCCACUACAAGAUGGACCUGCGUUGUAUUAGCUAGUAGGUGAGGUAAUGGCUCACCUAGGCGACGAUACAUAGCCGACCUGAGAGGGUGAUCGGCCACACUGGGACUGGGACACGGCCCAGACGCCUACGGGAGGCAGCAGUAGGGAAUCUUCGGCAAUGGGGGCAACCCUGACCGAGCAACGCCGCGGGAGUGAAGAAGGUUUUCGGAUCGUAAAGCUCGGUUGUAAGUCAAGAACGGGUGUGAGAGUGGAAAGUUCACACUGUGACGGUAGCUUACCAGAAAGAGACGGCUAACUACGUG
rnacentral:rRNA from 1 species